rnacentral:siRNA from 1 species
CGGGUGCGGUUGCGGUUGC